rnacentral:rRNA from 1 species
CCCUUAGAUGUUCUGGGCCGCACGCGCGCUACACUGAUGCACUCAACGAGUUUCUUCCUGGUCCGAGAGGAAUGGGUAACCUUUUGAAAGUGCACCGUGAUAGGGAUAGACUAUUGCAAUUAUUGGUCUUCAACGAGGAAUUCCUAGUAGACGUAGUUCAUCAGACUGCAUCGAUUACGUCCCUGCCCUUUGUACACACCGCCCGUCGCUCCUACCGAUUGAAUGCUCAGGUGAGCCAUUCGGACUUUCAUCAUGCUGGUUUCCAGUUUUGAUGAAGGAAAGUCUUGCGAACCUUAUCAUUUAGAGGAAGGAGAAGUCGUAACA